rnacentral:misc_RNA from 1 species
AGCAGCCGCGGUAAUUCCAGCUCCAAUAGCGUAUAUUAAAGUUGUUGCAGUUAAAAAGCUCGUAGUUGAAUUUCGGGAUUGACGUGAUGGUCGUGCCUUACGGGGUAUGAACUGUUGCUGUUGAUUUCUCACCUUCUGGAGAAACUUGAUGUCCUUAAUUGGGUGUCUUGCGGAUCCAGGACCUUUACCUUGAAAAAAUUUAGAGUGUUUAAAGCAGGCAUUUUUUGCUCGAAUACAUUAGCAUGGAAUAAUAGAAUAGGACGGCAUGGUUCUAUUUUGUUGGUUUCUAGGAUCACCGUAAUGAUUAAUAGGGAUAGUUGGGGGCAUUAGUAUUCAAUUGUCAGAGGUGAAAUUCUUGGAUUAUUGGAAGACUAACUACUGCGAAAGCAUUUGCCAAGGAUGUUUUCAUUAAUCAAAGAACGAAAGUUAGGGGAUCGAAGACGAUCAGAUACCGUCGUAGUCUUAACCAUAAACUAUGCCGACUAGGAAUCAGACGAUGUUAAUUUUUUUC